rnacentral:rRNA from 1 species
GCGAGCGGCGGAUGGGUGAGUAACACGUGGGGAACCUGCCCCUAAGUCUGGGUUACCAUUUGGAAACAGGUGCUAAUACCGGAUAAUAAAGCAGAUCGCAUGAUCAGCUUUUGAAAGGCGGCGUAAGCUGUCGCUAAGGGAUGGCCCCGCGGUGCAUUAGCCAGUUGGUAAGGUAACGGCUUACCAAGGCGACGAUGCAUAGCCGAGUUGAGAGACUGAUCGGCCACAUUGGGACUGAGACACGGCCCAAACUCCUACGGGAGGCAGCAGUAGGGAAUCUUCCACAAUGGACGCAAGUCUGAUGGAGCAACGCCGCGUGAGUGAAGAAGGUUUUCGGAUCGUAAAGCUCUGUUGUUGGUGAAGAAGGAUAGAGGUAGUAACUGGCCUUUAUUUGACGGUAAUCAACCAGAAAGUCACGGCUAACUACGUGCCAGCCAGCCGCGGUAAUACGUAGGUGGCAAGCGUUGUCCGGAUUUAUUGGGCGUAAAGCGAGCGCAGGCGGAAAAAUAAGUCUAAUGUGAAAGCCCUCGGCUUAACCCGAGGAACUGCAUCGGAAACUGUUUUUCUUGAGUUGCAGAAAGAGGAGAGUGGGAACUCCAUGUUGUAGCGGUGGAAUGC